GCAAAGAAGCGUGCCCGUCACGUGACCCCCGAGAGCCGCACAGCCUCUAUAAAAAGGUCGACUGCGGCCUCCGCUUUCUCUUUUGGAAUCUGCCUUUGGCUGCGUUGCUGUAUACAAAAUCUCAAGCCAAUGCUGUCUGUAAAGGGUUUCACAAAUGAUUCUAUGAUCAUGGAACAAGAAUUGAUUCUUUGUUUGCAAAUAUGGGAACACUACCCAUUGAUGUGCUGGCCUUCAGGUUCUCUAAUAUGGAUAAGCUUUAGAUGAUCAAACAUGUCUUAAUGGAAUUGAGCUGUCUUUGAAGAACCUCAAGAAAAGGCAAGU